UCGGACUGCAGGCUGCAACUCGCCUGCACGAAGCCGGAGUUGCUAGUAAUCGCGGAUCAGAAUGCCGCGGUGAAUGCGUUCCCGGGUCUUGUACACACCGCCCGUCACACCAUGGAAGUUGGGGGUGCCCAAAGCCGGCAGGGAAAUAUGCUGUCUAAGGCAAAACCAAUGACUGGGGUGAAGUCGUAACAAGGUACC
rnacentral:rRNA from 1 species